CCUACGGGGGGCAGCAGUGGGGAAUCUUGCGCAAUGGCCGAAAGGCUGACGCAGCGACGCCGCGUGGAGGAUGACGCCCUUCGGGGUGUAAACUCCUGUUGCCCGGGACGAACGACCCUAUUCGUGGGGUGUGACGGUACCGGGUGAGGAAGCACCGGCUAACUCUGUGCCAGCAGCCGCGGUAAUACAGAGGGUGCGAGCGUUGUCCGGAAGCACUGGGCGUAAGGGGCGCGUAGGCGGCUGGUGAGGCGAAAGUCCGGGGCUCAACCCCGGAUCGGCCAUGCGAACUGUCCAGCUGGAGCACGGUAGAGGCACAUGGAAUUCCGGGUGUAGCGGUGGAAUGCGUAGAGAUCCGGAAGAACACCGGUGGCGAAGGCGGUGUGCUGGGCCGUAGCUGACGCUGAGGCGCGACAGCGUGGGGAGCAAACAGGAUUAGAUACCCCUGUAGUC
rnacentral:rRNA from 1 species